UACGGGGGGAGCAAGCGUUGUUCGGAUUUACUGGGCGUAAAGGGCGCGUAGGCGGCCAGCACAAGUCAGUUGUGAAAUCUCCGGGCUUAACUCGGAAAGGUCAACUGAUACUGUGCGGCUAGAGUGCAGAGGGGGCAACUGGAAUUCUCGGUGUAGCGGUGAAAUGCGCAGAUAUCAGGAGGAACACCAGCGGCGAAGGCGGCGCUCUGGGCCGGAACUGACGCUGAGGAGCGAAAGCGUGGGGAGCAAACAGG
rnacentral:rRNA from 1 species